CCUGAGCCCUGCCCCGCAGGGAGGCAGCUAAGGCCCGGCGAGAAAUCCAGCGCAGCGCUGGUGGGCCAGCACUGCUGGGAGACCCGGCACACCCUCCGCAGCUGCUGGCCUGGGUGCUAAGCCCCUCACUGCCCGGGGCGGCAGGGCUGGCUGGCUGCUCCGAGUGCGGGGCCGCCAAGCUCACGCCCACCCGGAACUCUAAGUGGCCCGCAAGCGCCGUGCGCAGCCCCAGUUCCAGCCGGUGCGUCUCCCUCCACACCUCCCCGCAAGUGGAGGGAGCCGGCUCCGGCCUCGGCCAGCCCAGAGAAGGGCUACCACGGUGCAGCGGCGGGCUGAAGAGCUCCUUAAGUGCAGCCAGAAUGGGCGUUGAGGCCUAGGAGGCACCGAGAGCGAGCAAGGGCUGUGAGGGCUGCCAACACGCUGUCACCUCUCAACAUCAUCAGGAAUGCAUGUGGAAACUGCAUUGCUUGGUUAUGAGUCUUUGGCGUUUCACCCUUUUUACUGCUGCCUUCAGGAUCAUGACUGGCUUCUAAAGGCUGCCUUCUCAUGUGCUCCCUUCAUCUUCA
rnacentral:lncRNA from 10 species